UACGGAGGGUGCAAGCGUUAUCCGGAUUCACUGGGUUUAAAGGGUGCGUAGGUGGGCAGGUAAGUCAGUGGUGAAAUCUCUGGGCUUAACCCGGAAACUGCCAUUGAUACUAUCUGUCUUGAAUACCGUGGAGGUUAGCGGAAUAUGUCAUGUAGCGGUGAAAUGCUUAGAUAUGACAUAGAACACCAAAUUGCGAAGGCAGCUGGCUACACGAAUAUUGACACUGAUGCACGAAAGCGUGGGGAUCAAACAGG
rnacentral:rRNA from 1 species